UCGCCACCCACAGUGGCUGGAGAGCGGUUCAUGUCACAAAGUACUUUAAAAAUACACACAGAACUUUACCUGGGAUGGAGUUUUAAGAUUUUGUAACAAUAUCCCAGAAAUGCAUAACGUGAUGGAAAAGGCAUCUAUUCACAGAUUGAGAAAAAACAAUCAUAGUUACUACUCCUGCCCUAGUUCAGAAGCAUCAGGACCCGUGACCAUCUCUGAAAACACUUGUCAGGUACCCCGAAAAGUACAGCCAGUGUAUCCUGGGUUCUCACCGGCGUCCGCGGGGUGAGGGGACGUGGGGGCAGCCCCACAGGGGUGCUGCUGUGACACCUGCAUGAACCACUUCAGUGUCUCCAGAAAGCCUCCUGUGGCUCCUGAUAAUCCGCUGCUUUCCUAAACUGUUUCCAGGAAGCUCGGUUAUGCUGUGGGUGGCAACUUGAAGGCUUCCAAGAACUUUCCGUUUUUGUUUGUGCCAACAUUUGUUUUCUGUCAACAGUUCAGCUAUUCAAAAAUACGAAGCUGGCAGGGGGGCUGUUUGAACCAGGGACUGGAAUAGGGGGUCCCAACAGCGUCCAUGUUCCGAAUCCGAAUACGGCGCACGGGGCUGUGGGUGUCCCCGGCCCCGGAGAGACAGAGGGGUACGGGGGGGGGGCAAACUGGGACCGACCCCCACCCGGCCGCAACCGGGACGGGGGCCCCCGGGCCCCAAACCCCCGGACCCGGAGUCGCUCGCACGAAGGAACCAGCCAACCCCAAACGCCGGAUUCUGGAAAACCCCCGUUCCCAUGGCCCAGGGCGCCCCCGCGCUUCCAGCCAGCCCUUAGGGACGUCAGACAGCAAAUCCAGUUUCCAGCCGGGGUAUUGGGGUGCGGACAGAGAGAGGCGGCCAGGAGUUAUGUAAGUGUGCAGAGGCUCUGAGGAGAGAAUCAGUUUCUGAACACAGAGAUACUUAGAUUUUCACAGGCUUAAGUAAGAUGAAUGGUCCUCCAGGAGCCGGAAGCUCUGUGCUGCACCCUGAGACAGACUGGCCCUCCUAUUGGCCCAAAGGACAGGUCCUCCCAAAGGACUGUUAGCCCAAAGGACCCAUCUUCCCGAAGGCCUAUUAGCCCAGGGACAGUCCUCUGGAGGCUCUACCCAGCUGAGACUGGGUGGGUAAGCUGAAACUUCUUGGAUGAGCCACGAGUCAGUGGCAGCAAAUGUCUCUGGAGGACCUGGUCUCACUCCUGGUGAAGUUGUAACACUGAUCACUGAUCACCAAUCACGUUGGCAUCCAUUGGGGUUGUCUACAUUACAGCCACUUUCUUCUUUGUAAAUAAUGUAUUGUGGGAAGAUACUUUUAGGUGUGUAAAAUUGUUAUUUAUCCAAUUUAAACUCCAUAAUUUUAAGUUUCAUGAAGACUGAUGAUAACAUUUAAAUGAAUAAUUUUGUGUAAAUCUCUGCCUUAAUUUUGAACUUUACAUCAAUAUUUCCGAAAAUGAAUCUGGGUAAGAGCACUUUCAAGGCUCGAUGUGAAAAUG